rnacentral:rRNA from 1 species
CUUCGGCCUUAGUGGCGCACGGGUGCGUAACGCGUGGGAAUCUGCCCCUUGGUUCGGAAUAACAGUUGGAAACGACUGCUAAUACCGGAUGAUGACGUAAGUCCAAAGAUUUAUCGCCGAGGGAUGAGCCCGCGUAGGAUUAGGUAGUUGGUGAGGUAAAGGCUCACCAAGCCGACGAUCUUUAGCUGGUCUGAGAGGAUGAUCAGCCACACUGGGACUGAGACACGGCCCAG